GAUGAACGCUGGCGGCGUGCCUAAUACAUGCAAGUCGAGCGAACAGACGAGGAGCUUGCUCCUCUGACGUUAGCGGCGGACGGGUGAGUAACACGUGGAUAACCUACCUAUAAGACUGGGAUAACUUCGGGAAACCGGAGCUAAUACCGGAUAAUAUAUUGAACCGCAUGGUUCAAUAGUGAAAGACGGUUUUGCUGUCACUUAUAGAUGGAUCCGCGCCGCAUUAGCUAGUUGGUAAGGUAACGGCUUACCAAGGCAACGAUGCGUAGCCGACCUGAGAGGGUGGUCGGCCACACUGGAACUGGGACACGGUCCAGACUCCUACGGGAGGCAGCAGUACGGAAUCUUCCGCAAUGGGCGAAAGCCUGACGGAGCAACGCCGCGUGAGUGAUGAAGGUCUUCGGAUCGUAAAACUCUGUUAUUAGGGAAGAACAAAUGUGUAAGUAACUAUGCACGUCUUGACGGUACCUAAUCAGAAAGCCACGGCUAACUACGUG
rnacentral:rRNA from 1 species